UAGCCUGGAACGAAGCACGCU
rnacentral:miRNA from 1 species